AGCUAUAUAUUAAAGAGAUUUAUUUAUAUAAAUAGGUUUGCUAGCUGAUUGUGUAUAUACGCAGGCCAAUGCUUCUAAUUUCAUAGCAAGCGAGCUUGCUAUGAAAUAGGCAACCAGUAAUAUAAGCAAGUGUGUGCUAUUUAUAGCGCUAGCCUACAAACCUAUAAUUAUAUUAACUCUAAGAGAAAUUUAAUAAUAAACGAAGUGAAUUGAAAUAUCUUAGUAACUUUAGGAAAAGAAAUCAAAAGAGAUUCUAUGAUUAGCGUGAGCUAAAAUAGACUAGCCUAAAAAGUCAAAUGGUGGAUAAACUGUUUAAAUUAAAUGGGGAACCUUCCUCAAAGGCUAAAUAUAAUGUAUAAGCGAUAGUGGAAAGUACCGUGAGGGAACCAAAACAAAAACAGUGAUUUUAUAAGCAGUUCGGAAAAAUAAAAAAAAGUUAGAACGUACCUUUUGCAUAAUGGGUCACCAAGUUAACAUUAGAUGCGAGUAGGAGGCUUUGCCCAUACAUACGUAGUUAAACCGAGCGUUAAAAUAACGGUAAGUAUCUAAAGUUAGACCCGAAGCCUGGUGAUUUUACCAUAAUCAGGAUUAUAAAAGUCCGAACGGAAUAUUGUAGCAUAAAUAUCCGAAGAAUUAUGGUAGGUGUAGUGAAAGACAAUACUGACCAGGAUAGCUGGUUUUCUGCGAAACCUAUAACAGUAGGCAAUUUAAGUAUAAUAUCUUAGCAGGUACAGAAUUUAAUCUCAGACAAGACAUAAGGCUUAGCUUGCUAGCAAGUAAAGCUCAUGUUUUAUUUUGUACAAAUUGGGGGAUCAUGAAGAUUUUAUCAGUGAGUAUGUAGACUCGGAAUGGCAAAGAUAUAUCUUAAAUCAUCAGACAUAGAAUGAUAAGGUUGUAUGUCAAAAGGGAAACAGCCCAGAACAAGAGUUAAGGUUCCUAAAUUAUUAGUUGAGUGAAAUUAAGAAGGUUUUUAUUAAAGUCGACAAGGAGAUAGGCUUAGAAGCAGCCAUAAUUUUAUGACCUCGUAACAGAGCGCUUGUUAAGUUUUAAAAGCAUCGAAAAUUUAUCGGAUCUAAACAAUAUACCGAAACCUUGUCCAUAUUAUUUUAUAAUUAAAGCUUAAUUAUAAUUAAAUGGGGUAGCAGAACGUUGAGCUAAAUUAAGAUUUUUAUUUUUUAAAUGAAAUUAUAAUAAUUUAACUCAAGUGAUAAUGGUGACAUGAGUAACUAAAAGAAAAAAUAAAAUUUUUCCGCCUAAAGCUUAUGGAUGUAAUUAAGUAACGGCCUCUAAGUUUAUAUUAUCUAAAGAUUUAAACGAUGAGAUAAUCUUUUGUACUAAGGACGACAUUUUAAGUGAAAAAUGUACUGGAAAAAUAGUACUAAAUUAAUGGGUAUAGCUAAUUAGUUAGCUAUAGCUAUAAAUGAAAAGUAACCGUACCUAGAAUCUGAAACAAGUAAGCUAGUAGAGAAUACGAAGGCGUAAAUGAGCUAACAAUCAUAAAGGAACUCGGCAAAUUGACUACCGUAACUUCGGGAUAAGGAGAGCUCAUUAUUCUUGAUUAAUAUCAGGUAAAGAGGAAGAAGCAUGAAAUAGUGUUGUACGACUGUUUAAUUAAAACACAGCACUUUGCUGAAAGAUUAAAAAUCUAAGUAUAGAGUGUGAUGUCUGCCCGGUGCCGGCUGGUUAACAGAUAUAAUUAAAUAUACUAAUAUUUGAUGUAGACGGAAACCCCGGUUAAAGGCGGCCUUAACGUGAGGGUCCUAAGGUAGCGAAAUGCCUUGGCCGUUAAAUGCGGUCUUGCAUGAAUGAUGUAACGAUACAACAGCUGUCUCUAUGAUUGACUCAGUGAAAUUGGAAUAGCUGUGCAGAUACAGUUUACCUCUAGUUAGACGAGAAGACCCUAUGCAGCUUUACUGUCACUAAUUAUAGAGUAUGAUAAACAAUUUUCAGAUUAUAAGGUAAUUGACGGCUAGCUUGUUAAGCAAGCUAGCUCUAUGACAAUGAGAAUCCUUUAUUUUUUUUUCAUAUGAAUGAAUUGGUUUAGGAUUAUGAGUAGGUAGCGGCUUCUGCUACUUGGCAUAAGCAUUGCUUGCGUCAGGUGUCUGAAGUAUGCAUUCCAGCUCAUGCAUAGUAAAUCAACCUAAUUCAGCUUAUUUUCCUUUCUGCCAUAAGCGCAUAAUGAUAGAUUUAACUUAAAUUUUGAUUUAUGCCAGCUGCAGAAAUAGAUAAGUACCCUUGGCUAAGGAACUAUCGCUAGGGGACAGUUUAUGUGGGGCACAGACCCUGUAAAGAGUAAACAGGAGUGUCUAAUAAUUUAUAAUUAUUUUGUUUGCGAUUUAAGAUAGUGAAACUAUUUUUAAUCAUAUAAAAUUAUUUAUAUGUACAUUCGUUGUAUAUAUAUUUAAAAAAAGGUAGGAUUUUCACUAUAUAGAAAUUAGAGAUAAUAAAAAUAUUAAGAAUAUACGUUUCAGGCUGGGAGGGGGAAGCUCCUCCCUUUGAAAGGUAGCACUAAUAUUUUUUAGCUAUUAAGACAGGCUAUCAAGCUAGGCUCUAAUAGUUAUGUAUUAAUUAUCUAAAAAGCUCAACGGCUAAAUCUUGCCUUACUGUUUGAUUAUCAACAAAUCUUACAGUUGCGUAAGCAGGGCAUAGGAUCACAAGAUGCAACAAGGAAAGAUCUUGGAUUAUUGGAAAAGCUACGCUAGGGAUAACAGGCUAAUUUGCGCAAGAGUGUACAAAAUGAGUGCGCGGUUUGGCACCUCGAUGUCGGCUUAACUUAUCCUCAUGGAUGCAGGAACUAUGUAGGGUGCGACUGUUCGUCGAUUAAAAAGUUACAUGAGCUGGGUUAAAUACGUCGUGAGACAGUAUGGUUUCUAUCUUCUAGGGGGAAUUAGAAUAUAAUAAGAACUAACUUUUGUACGAAAGGAACAAGAAGAAUUUAAUUUGUAAAAGGGUUAAAUAAUAGUUACUAACCUAUGGUUUACCUGUUGUCUAUGUGCCCAAAUAUUAAAAUAUAUAUGGAGGAAGCUCCUUAAGAGCUUCCCCCGCAAAUUAUAUAUAUCUGUAUAGCUAGCCUGCGGACUCCGGUUAUGCCUGAGUUUGGCAAGCUAAAGCUAUACAUAGGGAUGUUUCUUUCACUAAGAUAAAUAUAUAGCAUAGGCACGGCAGGAAAGCUAAGUUGGUUAAGGAUAAGUGCUGAAAGCAUAUAGGCACGAAGCUUAUCUUAAGAUAUUUCUUAAAUAUACGUAAAAUAUUAUUACGAAGGAUGUAAUAUAGGCUUUAUCCGUACGAAUCAGGAGAUUUUUAAGAAUAAAGUACUAAUUUUAUAAAUAACUAUUUAU
rnacentral:rRNA from 1 species